rnacentral:rRNA from 1 species
CAAUAGCGUAUAUUAAAGUUGUUGCAGUUAGAACGCUCGUAGUCGGAUUUCGGGGCGGGCCGACCGGUCUGCCGAUGGGUAUGCACUGGUCGGCGCGUCCUUCCUUCCGGAGACCGUCCCUACUCUUAACUGAGCGGGGGCGGGAGACGGGACUUUUACUUUGAAAAAAUCAGAGUGUUUCAAGCAGGCAGCUCGCUCUUGCAUGGAUUAGCAUGGGAUAAUGAAAUAGGACUUUGGUGCUAUUUUGUUGGUUUCGAACACCGAAGUAAUGAUGAGAAGGGACAGUCAGGGGCACUCGUAUUCCGCCGAGAGAGGUGAAAUUCUCAGACCAGCGGAAGACGAACCACUGCGAAANCANNNGCCAGGGAUGUUUUCACNGA